rnacentral:misc_RNA from 1 species
GCCAUUAUGGCUAAUGACUGCCUUCCUUGCAUUUGAGCUUGGUGGGUGGCUGUUAGGUGUGUGGUUUCGGGGAUGUUUGCCGUAAAGGUGCAUGAGUGGUGUUUGGUUUGUUAUGGGUGGUUGGCUCUUUGCUUGCGCAACAACUUCCACCCGACAUUCCUCUUCAAUUUUGUUUCAAUGCUUGUAUUGCAUUGAUUGCACGAAGGGUUUCUUGUGUUGCAUGCCUAAUUGAAGGAAUCGUGUGACGAAUCGAUGAUUGCCUUCAUCUUGUGUCGCACAUGCGACGCGAGAUGAACCCUAAAGCAGCCCUUGUGAUCCACUCUUUCGUUGCACACGCAUUGAUUUUGUGGGUUGAUGAGUGUUUGCUUGGUCUCCUGGAUAUGGAACAUUGUGUGGGCAUGUGAACUUUUACUAGCUCAUCGUUUGCCCGAGUUAAGCUUCUUCAAAUACGAUUUCCUAUCAUGUCUUGGUGUGAUAGGAUAUAUCGAAUAUGAAUGCUACCUGG